GUUGACCUCGGAUCAGGUAGGGAUACCCGCUGAACUUAAGCAUAUCAAUAAGCGGAGGAAAAGAAACCAACAGGGAUUGCUCUAGUAACGGCGAGUGAAGCAGCAAUAGCUCAAAUUUGAAAUCUGGCGUCUUCGGCGUCCGAGUUGUAAUUUGUAGAGGAUGCUUCUGGGCAGCCACCGACCUAAGUUCCUUGGAACAGGACGUCAUAGAGGGUGA
rnacentral:rRNA from 1 species